rnacentral:rRNA from 1 species
AUUGAACGCUGGCGGCAGGCCUAACACAUGCAAGUCGAACGGUAGCACAGAGAGCUUGCUCUCGGGUGACGAGUGGCGGACGGGUGAGUAAUGUCUGGGAAACUGCCCGAUGGAGGGGGAUAACUACUGGAAACGGUAGCUAAUACCGCAUAACGUCUUCGGACCAAAGUGGGGGACCUUCGGGCCUCACACCAUCGGAUGUGCCCAGAUGGGAUUAGCUAGUAGGUGGGGUAAUGGCUCACCUAGGCGGCGAUCCCUAGCUGGUCUGAGAGGAUGACCAGCCACACUGGAACUGAGACACGGUCCAGACUCCGACGGGAGGCAGCAGUGGGGAAUAUUGCACAAUGGGCGCAAGCCUGAUGCAGCCAUGCCGCGUGUAUGAAGAAGGCCUUCGGGUUGUAAAGUACUUUCAGCGGGGAGGAAGGCGAUGGAGUUAAUAGCUUCAUCGAUUGACGUUACCCGCAGAAGAAGCACCGGCUAACUCCGUGCCAGCAGCCGCAGUAA